rnacentral:rRNA from 1 species
UGAGGAAUAUUGGACAAUGGGCGAAAGCCUGAUCCAGCUAGAUCGCGUGGGUGAUGAAGACUGUAUUGGUUGUAAAGCCCUUUACUUAAAUAAAGAUUAUGACAAAGUUUAAGAAAAAAGUCCCGGCCAAUCUCGUGCCAGCAGCCGCGGUAAUACGAGAGGGGCAAGCGUUAUUCGGAAUGAUUGGGCGUAAAGAGCACGUAGACUGUUUAGAAAAUCCAACAUAAAAAAAUCAAAGCUUAACUUUGAAACUUAUUUUAGAUCGUGGAUAAAAAUGUCUUUUUGUCACUGAUUUCUAAACUGGAGUGAGUAAGAGGAGAAUGGAAUUCCUGGCGUAGAGGUAAAAUUUGUUGAUAUCAGGAGGAACACCAAAAGCGAAGGCAAUUCUCUGGUACUCUACUGACGUUGAGGUGCGAUAGCGUGGGGAUCAAAAG